rnacentral:rRNA from 1 species
CUACGGGUCGCACCAGCGGGGAAUAUUGGGCAAUGGGCGCAAGCCUGACCCAGCAACGCCGCGUGAGGGAAGAAUGUCUUCGGAUUGUAAACCUCUGUCCUUGGGGACGAAAAAAAUGACGGUACCCAAGGAGGAAGCUCCGGCUAACUACGUGCCAGCAGCCGCGGUAAUACGUAGGGAGCAAGCGUUGUCCGGAAUUAUUGGGCGUAAAGGGUGCGUAGGCGGUAAUCCAAGUCAGAUGUGAAAGACCCGGGCUUAACUCGGGAGGUGCAUUUGGAACUGGGUUACUUGAGUACAGGAGAGGUAAGUGGAAUUCCUAGUGUAGCGGUGAAAUGCGUAGAUAUUAGGAGGAACACCAGUGGCGAAGGCGACUUACUGGACUGUCACUGACGCUGAGGCACGAAAGCGUGGGGAGCAAACAGGAUUAGAUACCCCAGUAGUC